rnacentral:rRNA from 1 species
AUGAACCGCUGGCGGUAUGCUUAACACAUGGCAAGUCGAACGUUCCCUCUUCGGAGGAUAGUGGGCGGGACGGGUGAAGUAACGCGUGAGAAUCUGGCUCUAGGUCUGGGACAACAGUUGGGAAACGACUGCUAAUAUACCGGAUGUGCCGAAAGGUUGAAAGGCUUGCUGCCUAGAGAUGAGCUCGCGUCUGAUUAGCUAGUAGGUGUGGGUAAAAGGCGCACCUAGGCGACGAUCAGUAGCUGGUCUGAGAGGAUGAUCAGCCACACUGGGACUGAGACACGGCCCCAGACUCCUACGGGAGGCAGCAGUGGGGAAUUUUCCGCAAUGGGCGAAAGCCUGACGGGAGCAAUACCGCGUUGAGGGAGGAAGGCCUCUUGGGUUGGUAAACCUCUUUUCUCAAGGAAUAAAAAAAAUGAAGGUACUUGAGGAAUCAGCAUCGGCUAACUCCGUGCCAGCAGCCGCGGUAAUACGGAGGAUGGCAAGCGUUAUCCGGAAUGAUUGGGCCGUAAAAGCGUCCGCAGGUGGGCCCUGUAAGUCUGCUGUUAAAGAGUGAGGCUUUAACCUCAUAAAAGCAGUGGAAACUACAGAGCUAGAGUGCGUUCGGGGCAGAAGGAAUUCCUGGUGUAGCGGUGAAAUGCGUAGAGAAUCAGGGAAGAACACCGGUGGCGAAAGGCGUUUCUGCUAGGCCGCAACUGACACUGAGGGACGAAAGCUAAGGGAGCGAAUGGGAUUAAGAUAACCCCAGUAGUCCUAGCCGUAAACGAUGGAUACUAGGCGUUGCGAGUAUCGACCCUCGCAGUGCCGGAGCCAACGCGUUAAGUAAUCAUCCCGCCUGGGGAGUACGCACGCAAGUGUGAAACUCAAAGGAAUUGACGGGGGCCCGCACAAGCGGUGGAGUAUGUGGUUUAAUUCGAUGCCAAACGCGAAGAACCUUACCAAGGACUUGACAUGUCGCGAACUCUUCUGAAAGGAAGAGGUGCCUUCGGGGAGCGCGAACACAGGUGGUGCAUGGCUGUCGUCAGCUCGUGUCGUGAGGAUUGUUGGGUUAAGUCCCGCAACGAGCGCAACCCUCGUUUUUAGUUUGCCAGCCAUUAAGUUGGGCACUCUAGAGAGACUGCCGGUGGAAAACCGGAGGAAGGUGGGGAUGGGACGUCAAGUCAGCAUGCCCCUUACGUCUUGGGCUACACACGUACUACAAUGCGUCGAACAGAGGGCAGCAAAAGCUAGCGAUUAGCAAGCAAAUUCCCGGAAAAUCGGCGCUCAGUUCAGAUCCGCAGGCUGCAACCUCGCCUUUGCGUGAAGGAGGAAAUCGCUAGUAAUUGCAGGUCAGCAUACUGCAGUGAAUUCGUUUCCCGGGCCUUGUACACACCGCCCGUCACACCAUGGAAGCUGGUCACGCCGAAGUCAUUACCCCCAACUUUUCGGAGAGGGGGAUGCCUAAGGUAGGACUGGUUGACUGGGGUG